AUUGAACGCUGGCGGCAUGCCUUACACAUGCAAGUCGAACGGUAACAGGUCUUCGGAUGCUGACGAGUGGCGAACGGGUGAGUAAUACAUCGGAACGUGCCUAGUAGUGGGGGAUAACUACUCGAAAGAGUGGCUAAUACCGCAUGAGAUCUACGGAUGAAAGCAGGGGAUCGCAAGACCUUGUGCUACUAGAGCGGCCGAUGGCAGAUUAGGUAGUUGGUGGGAUAAAAGCUUACCAAGCCGACGAUCUGUAGCUGGUCUGAGAGGACGAUCAGCCACACUGGGAAUGAGACACGGCCCAGACUCCUACGGGAGGCAGCAGUGGGGAAUUUUGGACAAUGGGCGAAAGCCUGAUCCAGCAAUGCCGCGUGCAGGAUGAAGGCCUUCGGGUUGUAAACUGCUUUUGUACGGAACGAAAAGCCCCGGGUUAAUACCCUGGGGUCAUGGCGGUACCGUAAGAAUAAGCACCGGCUAACUACGUGCCAGCAGCCGCCGUAA
rnacentral:rRNA from 1 species